AUUGAACGCUGGCGGCAUGCUUUACACAUGCAAGUCGGACGGCAGCACAGAGAAGCUUGCUUCUUGGGUGGCGAGUGGCGAACGGGUGAGUAAUAUAUCGGAACGUACCGAGUAAUGGGGGAUAACUAAUCGAAAGAUUAGCUAAUACCGCAUAUUCUCUGAGGAGGAAAGCAGGGGACCUUCGGGCCUUGCGUUAUUCGAGCGGCCGAUAUCUGAUUAGCUAGUUGGUGGGGUAAAGGCCUACCAAGGCGACGAUCAGUAGCGGGUCUGAGAGGAUGAUCCGCCACACUGGGACUGAGACACGGCCCAGACUCCUACGGGAGGCAGCAGUGGGGAAUUUUGGACAAUGGGCGAAAGCCUGAUCCAGCCAUGCCGCGUGUGUGAAGAAGGCCUUCGGGUUGUAAAGGACUUUUGUCAGGGAAGAAAAGGCUGUUGCUAAUACCGACAGCUGAUGACGGUACCUGAAGAAUAAGCACCGGCUAACUACGUG
rnacentral:rRNA from 1 species